CCAGAAAUUACAAGUUAGUUCUGUUAAGGAGCUAAAAACAGUCAGUAAAAGCAGACUUUACAUCAUUCCCCGAGCUACCCUCUGUCAGGUAACAUCGCCACCCUCUGCCAUGACCAAGACCUCAAAAGUGACUGAGGAAAAUGAAGUUUCACAUCAGGUAACAGCCACAUCCUCUGCCAUGUCCCAGAACUCAUUCCCACCACUAUCAAUCGCUCC